rnacentral:lncRNA from 1 species
GUCUGUGCUUAAAUCCGGCUCUACUGCUUUUUUCCCACCCCAACAGCUCUCUAUCAGUAGCCAAUCAAUGUUAUAUAAUUUUUUGGCCCUUCUGUGUGUGGCUGUGCAUGCGUGCAUGUGUGUACAUGUUCACAGUUCAAGCUGGACUCCUCUGGCUCUGCAUGUGUGUACACUUCUGGCAUCUGAGGUCUGCCUCUAGCAUUUUGUGGAUUAACUCUGGCAGUACAGAAGAGGAAGGGAACUUCUUUUCUCUGUUCUCAUCUCCAGGGAGGCGUGUCCAGAUCCCCUUGCCAGGCAGCUGCCUUAUAGGAGCACUGGAAGCCAGGUAGCUGACUUUCCUCCGGGGGAAAAAAGAAAGAACAAAAGAAGGAAGAGGAGAGAGAGAGAGACAGAGAGAUGAGAGGAAAGGAAGGAGAAGACAGAAGCCAGGCAUGUGGCCGAGGGCCCCGCGCGCGGACUCGGCCGGGCUGGGCAGCGGCGUCCCGGCGGGCGGGCGGGC